AGCAACAUAAUUAGGAAACUCCUCUCUAGGGAAGGCAGCUUGAUGGAGAGUGUAGGAACCUGGCUUGCCUGUCUCCAGCCAUCUGCCACAUUAAAGAAGGCCUCCUAUGGCUGGAAUCCAAGACACAAAAUUAAAAGGGCUGCUUGCACCCAAAGUCAUAAAACAAAGAGGCUUUCUGAAGCAGGCCUUGGAGUGAACACUCAUUUCUUCCUGACUUAAACAGCAUCUGUUUCUCCUGAUGAUUAGAAGAACAGACCCCAUGUAGACAUUAGUCCAAGGAAAAUGAAAAUGCGCAUGGUGCAGAGUGGAUCCCAACCCACAGUCAGAGCCUAGCUCAACAGACCUGCAAGCCUGAAGCACAGUUACCCACGCUGAUUCACAGACCGAAGAAUGAGAAAAAGUAACGUCUGUUGUUGUAUACCACUGAGAUUCUGGGUUUGUUUGUUAUGAAGCAAUAGCCAACUAAAAACAGUCUUUACUUACCUUGUCUCUCACCCUCAUUUACUUUUUCAUUUAUUAAAUUACUAAGCGAUAGACCCAGGUCCUUAUUCAAUAAGGCAAUAAGUAUUUAUUGAA